rnacentral:rRNA from 1 species
CGGAUUGAAGGCUGAAAUUCGCCUACAUGAAGUUGGAAUUGCUAGUAAUGGCAGGUCAGCAUACUGCCGUGAAUACGUUCCCGGGCCCUUGUACACACCGCCCGUCACACCAUGAGAGUUGGAGAUACCCGAAGCCUGUGAGCUAACUUUUUAAGAGGCAGCAGUCGAAGGUAGAAUCAAUGAUUGGGGUGAAGUCGUAACAAGGUAGC